UACGUAGGGGGCUAGCGUUGUCCGGAAUCAUUGGGCGUAAAGCGCGCGUAGGCGGCCCGGUAAGUGCGUUGUGAAAGUCAAAGGCUCAACCUUUGAAAGCCGAUGGAUACUGCCGGGCUGGAGUCCGGAAGAGGCGAGUGGAAUUCCUGGUGUAGCGGUGGAAUGCGCAGAUAUCAGGAGGAACACCAAUAGCGAAGGCAGCUCGCUGGGACGGUACUGACGCUGAGGCGCGAAAGCGUGGGGAGCGAACAGG
rnacentral:rRNA from 1 species